rnacentral:rRNA from 1 species
AGAGCGAACGCUGGCGGCAGGCCUAACACAUGCAAGUCGAGCGCCCCGCAAGGGGAGCGGCAGACGGGAGAGUAACACGUGGGAACGUACCCUUUGGUUCGGAACAACACAGGGAAACUUGUGCUAAUACCGGAUAAGCCCUUACGGGGAAAGAUUUAUUGCCAAAGGAUCGGCCCGCGUCUGAUUAGCUUGUUGGUGAGGUAACGGCUCACCAAGGCUACGAUCAGUAGCUGGUCUGAGAGGAUGAUCAGCCUCACUGGGACUGAGACACGGCCCAGACUCCUACGGGAGGCAGCAGGUGGGGAAUAGUUGGACAAGUGGGCGCAAGCCUGAUCCAGCCAUGCCGCGUGGAUGAUGAAGGCCCGUAGGGUUGUAAAGUCCUUUCGACGGGGAAGAUAAUGACGGUACCCGUAGAAGAAGCCCGGCUAACGUCGUGCCAGCAGCCGC